CCUGUGAGGAGGAGUUAAGACUAAACCCAAAUGUCUUUCACCUCUAUAUAUCUAAGUAUAGAAAGUUUGACAGAGAGCAGCUGGCACACAGUUUACCAGUAUGGGCUACAAGACAGGACUACUGAUUUUGAUGAUCUGCUUUGCAGGUGUUGAUGGUCAAACCCUGACUGAGUCUGAACCAGCAGUUAAAAGGCCUGGAGAAUCCCACAGACUGACCUGUACGACCUCUGGAUUCACAUUCAGCAGCUACGCUAUGGACUGGGUCAGACAGGCUCCUGGAAAAGGACUGGAGUGGAUCGCUUUUAUACAAACAAGGAGUACUUCUAGGUAUUACUCCCAGUCAGUCCAGGGUAGAUUCACCAUCUCCAGAGAUGACUCCAGCAGUAAAGUCUAUCUACAGAUGAACAAUCUGAAGACUGAGGACACAGCAGUUUAUUACUGUGCCCGACACAACACACUGACACAACCAGCUUAUGUGACUAAGCAGCCAGGCCAGCGUCUGUCCAUCACCUGUCAGGUCUCUUAUUCUGUGGGCAGCUACUUCACAGCUUGGAUCAGACAGCCUGCAGGGAAAGGACUGGAGUGGAUUGGUAGCAAAUUUACUGGAGCUUCAUACUACAAAGAUUCACUGAAGAGCAAGUUCAGUAUAGACUUAGACUCUUCCAGCAACACAGUUACUCUAAAUGGACAGAAUAUGCAGCCUGAAGACACUGCUGUGUAUUACUGUGCCAGAGACCCACAGUAA